rnacentral:rRNA from 1 species
CUACGGGAGGCACCAGUGAGGAAUAUUGCACAAUGGGGGGAACCCUGAUGCAGCAACGCCGCGUGGAGGAUGACGCAUUUCGGUGUGUAAACUCCUUUUAUAUGUCAAGAAAAUGACGGUAGCAUAUGAAUAAGCACCGGCUAACUCCGUGCCAGCAGCCGCGGUAAUACGGAGGGUGCAAGCGUUACUCGGAAUCACUGGGCGUAAAGGACGCGUAGGCGGGCUUGUAAGUCAGGUGUGAAAUCCUACAGCUUAACUGUAGAACUGCACUUGAAACUUCUAAUCUAGAGUAUGGGAGGGGGAGAUGGAAUUAGUGGUGUAGGGGUAACAUCCGUAGAUAUCACUAGGAAUACCUAAAGCGAAGGCGAUCUCCUGGAACAUUACUGACGCUAAGGCGUGAAAGCGUGGGGAGCAAACAGGAUUAGAUACCCUAGUAGUC